ensembl:lncRNA
CCCGGCUGCUCUUCAGACCUGAUGAUCUUGCUUAUAGAGCCUGGGCAAAGUUCUCUGAAUGGGCCAGUGAGGAACCAGCUCCAAGCUUACACUAGGGACCUCUGGAUAUUCCCAAGAUCUCUGUGGGUGUUUUUUUUCUACAUUGGGGGGAAAAAAAAGCUCCCCGUAAAACAGUAAGCCAUGUUAGCUUUGCAGCAGCCUCCCAUGUCUCCUCUGUCACACAUCUCUGGGUUGCAACGGUCCCACCGUGCUCGAUUUCAUCUCAUAUUGUUCACCAGGACCUCGAAACCCAUGCUAAUGUCACCAUCAAGAGACCAAAAGGAAUCCUAGACUUGGAAACAGAAUUAAAAGCAGUAAGGACUAUGGAGGUGGGAAAUCAGAAAUGGUUACUGAGUGCCAGUCAGUCGUGUCCCAUUUGCUCAAAGCUAUCAUCUU